CCCUUAGAUGUCCUGGGCCGCACGCGCGCUACACUGAGUGUCUGAGAUACGAGUCUGCCUGGUCCGGCAAGGUCUAGGUAAUCGCUAAAAGACACAUCAUGCUUGGGAUAGAUUAUUGCAAAUAUUAAUCUUGAACGAGGAAUUCCUAGUAAGCGCAAGUCAACAGCUUGCGUUGAUUACGUCCCUGCCCUUUGUACACACCGCCCGUCGCUCCUACCGAUUGAGUGUUCCGGUGAGGCUUUGGGAGAAUGGCCUCAACAUGAGUUUAUCGUGUUUUGCCGUUUGAACUUAGUCAAACCUUAUCACUUAGAGGAAGGAGAAGUCGUAACA
rnacentral:rRNA from 1 species